rnacentral:rRNA from 1 species
GUUCUUCGGAACUAGAGACCGGCGCACGGGUGCGUAACGCGUAUGCAAUCUACCUUUUACAGAGGGAUAGCCCAGAGAAAUUUGGAUUAAUACCUCAUAGUAUAUAGCCCUGGCAUCAGGAUUAUAUUAAAGUCACAACGGUAAAAGAUGAGCAUGCGUCCCAUUAGCUAGUUGGUAAGGUAACGGCUUACCAAGGCUACGAUGGGUAGGGGUCCUGAGAGGGAGAUCCCCCACACUGGUACUGAGACACGGACCAGACUCCUACGGGAGGCAGCAGUGAGGAAUAUUGGACAAUGGGCGCAAGCCUGAUCCAGCCAUGCCGCGUGCAGGAUGACGGUCCUAUGGAUUGUAAACUGCUUUUAUACGAGAAGAAACACUCCUUCGUGAAGGAGCUUGACGGUAUCGUAAGAAUAAGGAUCGGCUAACUCCGUGCCAGCAGCCGCGGUAAUACGGAGGAUCCAAGCGUUAUCCGGAAUCAUUGGGUUUAAAGGGUCCGUAGGCGGUUUAAUAAGUCAGUGGUGAAAGCCCAUCGCUCAACGGUGGAACGGCCAUUGAUACUGUUAGACUUGAAUUAUUAGGAAGUAACUAGAAUAUGUAGUGUAGCGGUGAAAUGCUUAGAGAUUACAUGGAAUACCAAUUGCGAAGGCAGGUUACUACCAAUUGAUUGACGCUGAUGGACGAAAGCGUGGGUAGCGAACAGGAUUAGAUACCCUGGUAGUCCACGCCGUAAACGAUGGAUACUAGCUGUUGGA